GUAACUUUAAAAGACGUAAUGACUUCUAGAGAUGCUGCUUUUUGGAAAGAAGUUGUAGAUGAUGAGAUGAACUCAUUGUUAUCCAACCAAACUUGGACUUUGGUUGACUUACCACAUGGGUCUAAACCAAUUGGUUGUAAGUGGGUGUUUAGAAGGAAAUAUAAUACUGAUAGUUUUCUACAAACCUUCAAAGCUCGAUUGGUAGCCAAAGGUUUUAAAUAGAAAAAGGAAGUUGAUUACUUUGACACCUAUGCACCAGUUGCAAGAAUCACCUCCAUUAGAGUGUUGUUUGCUUUGGCAUUCGUAUAUAACCUAUAUGUACAUCAAAUGGACGUGAAAACAACCUUUUUAAAUGGGGAUUUGGAUGAAGAGGUAUAUAUGGAGCAACCGAAAGGAUUUGUUCUUCCUGGUAAUGAAAAGAAGGUUUGUAAAUUAGUGAAAUCACUAUAUGGUCUCAAACAAGUGCCAAAACAAUGGCAUGAAAAAUUUGACUUUGUCAUUUUGUAAAUGAUUUUAGACAUAAUAAUGUCGAUAAGUGUAUUUAUUCUAAAUUCACUGAUGAAUAUGGUGUUUUCAUAUGCUUAUAUGUAGAUUAUUUACAAAUAUUUGGGAUUAACAUGAAAGCUAUAUCCGAAACUAAGAAGUAUCUAAAGUCAAAUUUCAAAAUGAAAGAUUUGAAUGAAGUUAAUACUAUCUUAGGGAUAAAAGUAAGGAGACAUGAUGGGGGUUUUGCAUUGUUCUAGUCACACUAUGUUGAAAAAAUAUUGCAGAAGUAUAAGCAUUUGCAAAUAAAAGAAGCACCAACCUCUUAUGACUCUAAGAUCAACAUGCUAGUAAAUUAUGGCAGAUUAGUUGCACAACUUGAGUAUGCUAGUGUAAUUGGAGGAUUGAUGUAUGCUUCGCAUAGCACAAGGCCAUAUAUAACAUUUGUUGUUUGUAAGCUUUCAAGAUACACUAGCAACCCUAGCACCUUACAUUGGAAAUCAAUUUGUAAAGUUUUUGGUUAUUUUAAAAAGACUACCAAUUGGGGUCAUUUUAUUCAAGAUUUCUAGUGGUACUAGAAGGGUACUUAGAUGCUAGUUGGAUUACUAGCGCAAGCAAUAAUAAAUCCACAACAUGAUGGAUAUUCAUUAUUGGGGGAGGUGAUGUUUCUUGGAUAUCAAAGAAACAAACUGUUAUAUCACACUCCAUUAUGGAAUCUGAGUUUAUAGCAUUAGCAGCUGCAUGCAAAGAAGCAGAAUGGUUGAGAGAUUUAUUGUUUGACAUAGAGUUGUGGCCACAACCAAUGCCAUCUAUUUUUUUGUAUUGCGAUAGUGAAGCUACAUUGUCUAGAGCUUAUAGCAAAGUAUAUAAUGGCAAAUCUAGACGUAUUAGCUUUAGACAUGAAUUUGUCAAACAUUUAAUAACACAAGGAGUUGUUAACAUAACUUAUGUAAGGUCAAAUAAAAAUUUGGUAGAUCCUUUUACUAAGGGAUUCUAGAGAGAUAUGGUACAAAGUACAUCUAGUGGAAUGAGGCUGAAACCCUUUACUAUAAAUCACCCAACUUUGCCUAGAACAUCACUAGACCAAAGUUCAAUGGGUAAUAACAAGUUAUUGAUAAGUGGUUUGAAUAAGCACUGAAUAAUUUAUAUAGCCUAUUCCAGAAUGUCAGUGCAUACUGCUAUGAUAUAAAGGAUGAAAUUUAAAUUCUUAAUGAGGUAUAAUAAUAUAAGAUGCUCGAAUAGCAGGAACAUAUACAAGUAACCUCACCUAUAUAAAUAUAAGGAGUGGUGCUCACCUAUAUAAAUAUAAGGAGUGGUGCUGCUUCUACCAAGAGUUUUUUGGGUUUUCUCUUGUAAAUAUUUAUGAAACUAGGAUGUAGCACAGGGCCAUAAUAAUGCUAACUAGAUACAAAAUUUCUCCAAGGAAGCUAUAAUAUGAUCAUGUGUGUAGCAUUUUCCGGUUUUGACUUAUAAAUACGUAGUUUAAGGUAUGGAAAGGCCACUAUUGUAUUUGUAAGAACCUUGAGAUACUUACACUAAUUGAAGGUUAAAAUCGAAAGAUACCCAUUUGUAUGCAUGAACUUAUGUGUAUGAUUAAAGUUAAUGAUAGAAAAAAUUGAUUCAUUAUAAUAUUUCUAGUUUUAUA
rnacentral:lncRNA from 1 species